UACCAGACUCCUACGGGAGGCAGCAGUGAGGAAUAUUGGUCAAUGGGCGAGAGCCUGAACCAGCCAAGUCGCGUGAGGGAUGACUGCCCUAUGGGUUGUAAACCUCUUUUGUAUGGGGGGAAUAAGCUUUACGAGUAGAGUGAUGACAGUACCUUACGAAUAAGCAUCGGCUAACUCCGUGCCAGCAGCCGCGGUAAUACGGAGGAUGCGAGCGUUAUCCGGAUUUAUUGGGUUUAAAGGGUGCGCAGGCGGAUUUUUAAGUCAGCGGUCAAAUCGUGGGGCUCAACCCCAUCCAGCCGUUGAAACUGGGGAUCUAGAGUGUGCGAGAGGUAUGCGGAAUGCGUGGUGUAGCGGUGAAAUGCAUAGAUAUCACGCAGAACCCCGAUUGCGAAGGCAGCAUACCGGUGCACAACUGACGCUCAGGCACGAAAGCGUGGGUAUCGAACAGGAUUAGAUACCCGCGUAA
rnacentral:rRNA from 1 species